CUGCAGCCAAGAAGAGUGCCUGACGAGCCCAGUUAUAAGGCCUGUGCUGCGAGAACACCCAACUGAGCCUCAACAGGGCCUGUGCUGUUGCCUGAGGCCAUCUACACCACAUCAGGGCCUCUGCUGCUGCAACGAGUGACGCAGAAGGGGUUAAAGAUAAGCAUGCCAUGAAUAAGUCUACAGGAAACAUCUGGAGAAGUCAGACAACCAUAUAGGGCAGAAUCUUGUUGAACACGGAAACUUGUUUUACUGUCAUUAAUUAUAACCUAUGCAUGUGAUAUUCUUUCUGAAACGAGAAGGGGCGUGAACCCUGACAUAAUAAAACCAUUUUCAAUUUAUGCUGUGACGGAGAUCUGUCUUGACAAUAUUGAGCUGUGUAUCUUCCCACACAUGUGUUUAAUAAAAUCAUUGUUUU